CAUGGCCCUGGUGACUGCUCUACCACGAGCUUGGUGACCUCUGCAGUCCCACACCCGGCUGGAGACAGAAGAGGAGCCUCUGGUGUGGGCUGUAGUGCUGUCCAUGGGUGCUGGAUGCAAAUAUUUGGUUUAAAACUGCUGAAGGCGAGUAUAGCUCAAGAAAGAAAAAAUACAGCCAUUGAUUUCUUCUCAAAGGUGACCUUCCAAAGCCUCUCUCCUCACUGAGCUCAUGCUAAGCGGGUGCAGCAGGAGCUGAGUACACCUCUUCUCACAAAUUCUGCUCCAGAUUCCUUCAGCGUGUCUGAGCUGAGAGCAGCGAUUGUCCUUCCUCUGGUCUGACACUCAAAUCCUGCUGUGGUGAUGGGAGGGCAUCUUCCUUCAGCUUUGCGUAGGGUGAAAGCCAGAUUGACAGAGAAAAGAAGGCAGCAUACUGGUACAAGAAAAGUCUCCAGAUAUAUCAAUGCAACCAGGCAAUGACCGAACUUUGCUGAUGAAGGAUUUUUUGUUCUCUUUUUUGGCCAGGAUUUCAGAUAUUCCUCUCUAUGUUACUUAUUACAUGUUCAUCUUAUUGACUUAUUGAAGUAUUGCAAUGUGUCACCACUGCUCCCAGUUGUGAAGAAACUUGUAGUGCUGCUUUCUGUUAGGUAAAUGACCCAGGGACCUUGGGAUAAAUGAACUAAUUAGUCCUGAAAUUUAUUCUGAGUCAAUAGAGCUCACUAAGAGGUUGUUAAGUAAUAUGGCAGGAAAGAAGGCUGAAAUGAUGAACAGACCAGUCUUGUGGUCCACCCCUCCAGGCAAGGAGUCUGCUCUGAGUGCCUCACAGCUACCUUCUGACCUACAACUUGGGCUUUGCUUUCAUGGAAAUGAGGUCAGAAGCUGAAGAAGAGGGUGCAGGAAACUGGUGUUCUCUGCUGUGUCAUCUCAUUUUGGGGUUGGAGCAUGGACAGGACUCAUGUCUGGACCACAGCUGUGCUCCUGGAUUUGAAUGAAACCAACACUCUUUGGAGAGAUUUUAAAUUGAAACUGGUUUUCAGACACUGGGUGAGAUGGUAUAUAAAAAAAAUAGCUGAACACCAGGAGGCUAAUAAACCAUGACAACUCUUGUCACUUUUUCUCUCUGUACAAGGAGAAUAACAGCUCCAAACAGCUGUUUAGUGAAACAAAGUUUUCAGCAUUGUUUCAUUUAGUCUACAUCUUCAAAGGUUCUCAAUCCACAACUUGGUAUUCUCCUUCCAAAAGGCAUCACAAAAAUAUAGUGUUCCAGUUUCUGGGAAGAAAUCAGAUAAAAGCCAGAAAAAUUGUAUUUAGCAGAAUGUUUGAAAAUGGGGGGGCUAAACAAACCAUGAUAGUAGAUACUGAAUAGUGAGGUUGAAGGGAGAAAAUGCAAGAUGUGAAUUGAAUGAAUAUAAUUACUUUUGCAUAGUAAAGAGGGUACAUGGAAAAAAAAAAAUCUGUUGUUCUGUAAUUAAAGGUUAUUUGAUAAUGUGUGUACACAAGGUUUAACUGAAGUUGUAUAUUCAUCCUUAAUGAUGGCAUUUCCUAACUGAUGAUUAGUUGAUCUUACCACCUUACUGCUCUUUAAACCAAAGGGAUGGAUUAAAUGUGUUUAUACACUCCAAAAUAUGUACCUAUGUCUAAACCAGCUAGACCUCUGCAUACAAACCACGUACACAUAGGAAGUAUUAAUGACCUAUACAUAAAUAAAAGUUGUGGAUAAUUAAGUGUAUUCAAAUAUUUAAAAAGAGAUUAAAAUAGUCAUUAAAACCCACAAAACAUUGUGAACCAUAAAGAAAGAUGAGGCCAACAGUGUGUACGAUAAAAUAGAAUUAUACCUAUGAGAGUUCAAAUAGCUGAUGACUUUAGGUCAGGAAGGAAGGCAGAAGGAUUUUGAAUAAACAAGUUUAAUUACUAA